UCCGUAGGUGAACCUGCGGAAGGAUCAUUAACGAGUUAGGGUCUUCUAGGCCCGACCUCCCAACCCCAUGUUUACUGAACCUAUGUUGCUUCGGCGGGCCCGUCUCACGACCGCCGGGGGACCGUAAGACGUCCUCUGGCCCGCGUCCGCCGGUGGCCACACCUAACAAAAUUCGAAUUAAACCGUGUCAAAUGUCUGAGUCUCAUUCUUAAAUUAAAGCAAAACUUUCAACAACGGAUCUCUUGGUUCUGGCAUCGAUGAAGAACGCAGCGAAAUGCGAUAAGUAAUGCGAAUUGCAGAAUUCCAGUGAGUCAUCGAAUCUUUGAACGCAUAUUGCGCCCUUUGGUAUUCCGAAGGGCAUGCCUGUUCGAGCGUCAUUAUCACCCCUCAAGCCCCCGGGGCUUGGUGUUGGAGGGUUUGGUCUCGGUGACGAGACCCCUCCUAAAGUCAAUGACGGCGGCCUGUCGACCCCCGGUACACUGAGCUUCUUAACCGAGCACGUAUCGGCCUAGGCAGGACCCGGUCCUCUUCCUUCAG
rnacentral:misc_RNA from 1 species